rnacentral:rRNA from 1 species
GGGGAAUUUUGGACAAUGGGCGCAAGCCUGAUCCAGCAAUGCCGCGUGCAGGAUGAAGGCCUUCGGGUUGUAAACUGCUUUUGUACGGAACGAAAAAGCUCUCUCUAAUACAGGGGGUGAAUGACGGUACCGUAAGAAUAAGCACCGGCUAACUACGUGCCAGCAGCCGCGGUAAUACGUAGGGUGCGAGCGUUAAUCGGAAUUACUGGGCGUAAAGCGUGCGCAGGCGGCUUUGUAAGACGCAUGUGAAAUCCCCGGGCUCAACCUGGGAACUGCAUUUGUGACUGCAAGGCUAGAGUGCGUCAGAGGGAGGUGGAAUUCCGCGUGUAGCAGUGAAAUGCGUAGAGAUGCGGAGGAACACCGAUGGCGAAGGCAGCCUCCUGGGAUGACACUGACGCUCAUGCACGAAAGCGUGGGGAGCAAACA